CAGCCGCCGCGGUAAUACGAAGGGUGCAAGCGUUAAUCGGAAUUACUGGGCGUAAAGCGUGCGUAGGCGGUUUGUUAAGUCUGCUGUGAAAUCCCCGGGCUCAACCUGGGAAUGGCAGUGGAUACUGGCAAGCUAGAGUCUUGUAGAGGGGGGUAGAAUUCCAGGUGUAGCAGUGAAAUGCGUAGAGAUCUGGAGGAAUACCGGUGGCGAAGGCGGCCCCCUGGACAAAGACUGACGCUCAGGUGCGAAAGCGUGGGGAGCAAACAGGAUUAGAUACCCCAGUAGUCCCUGUCUCUUAUAC
rnacentral:rRNA from 1 species